AGAGUUUGAUCCUGGCUCAGGAUGAACGCUAGCGGCGCGCCUAAUGCAUGCAAGUCGAGCGAUGAGUUCUCCUUCGGGGGGACAUCAGCGGCAAACGGGUGAGUAACGCAUGGAUAACCUACCCCAAAGACGAGGAUAACUGCUGGAAACGGUGGCUAAUACUCGAUGAGUACAGCGAUCUGGGAUGAUGGUUGUAGAAAGCUCCGGUGCUUUGGGAGGGGUCUGUGGCCCAUCAGCUAGUUGGUAGGGUAACGGCCUACCAAGGCGAUGACGGGUAGGGGGUGUGAGAGCAUGACCCCCCACAAUGGGAUUGAGAGACGGCCCAUACUCCUACGGGAGGCAGCAGCAGGGAAUUUUGCACAAUGGACGGAAGUCUGAUGCAGCGACGCCGCGUGGGUGAAGAAGGCCUUCGGGUCGUAAAACCCUUUUCUGGGGGAAGAGGAAGGACGGUACUCCAGGAAUAAGUGUCGGCUAACUACGUGCCAGCAGCCGCGGUAAUACGUAGGACACGAGCGUUAUCCGGAUUUACUGGGCGUAAAGCGCCUGUAGGCGGUUUCGUAAGUCGGAUGUGAAAGCCCCAGGCUUAACCUGGGGAGGCCAUUCGAUACUGCGGGACUUGAGGAUAGCAGAGGGGAGUGGAAUUCCCGGUGUAGCGGUAAAAUGCGCAGAUAUCGGGAGGAACACCAGUGGCGAAGGCGGCUCCCUGGGCUACUCCUGACGCUGAGAGGCGAAAGCUAGGGGAGCGAACAGGAUUAGAGGCCCUGGUAGUCCUAGCCCUAAACGAUGGAUGCUAGGUGGAGGAUCGAUAGGUUUUCUGCCAAAGCUAACGCGUUAAGCAUCCCGCCUGGGGACUACGGCCGCAAGGCUAAAACUCAAACGAAUUGACGGGGGCCCGCACAAGCAGCGGAGCGUGUGGUUUAAUUCGAUGUUACACGAAGAACCUUACCUGGGUUUGACAUGGACGUGGUAGCGAAGCGAAAGCGGAGCGACCCUUCGGGGAGCGUUGACAGGUGCUGCAUGGCUGUCGUCAGCUCGUGCCGUGAGGUGUCGGGUUAAGUCCCGUAACGAGCGCAACCCUUGCCCUUAGUUACAAGUGUCUAAGGGGACUGCCGGCGGGAAGCCGGAGGAAGGUGGGGAUGACGUCAAGUCAGCAUGGCCUUUAUAUCCAGGGCUACACACACGCUACAAUGGUCGGUACAAUGGGCAGUCAAGCCGCGAGGCGGGGCGAAUCCCAGCAAAGCCGACCCCAGUUCGGAUUGCAGGCUGCAACCCGCCUGCAUGAAGCCGGAGUUGCUAGUAACCGCGCGUCAGCUAUAGUGCGGUGAAUACGUUCCCGGGCCUUGUACACACCGCCCGUCACGUCAUGGGAGUUGGCAAUGCCUGAAGCCGGGGGUUUAACUCGCAAGAGAGGACACCGUCGAAGGCGAGGCUAGCGACUGGGACGAAGUCGUAACAAGGUAACC
rnacentral:rRNA from 1 species